AAAACUGACAUGACUUCUUCUACUGGAGAUAAAAACACUUGUGUGCACGGAGAUCACCUUUGGCUUAAAACUUAAAGCUUAAAAACCACAACUUAGCGAUGAAGAUGUAGCCU